AUGAAUUGCCUUGUAUACCUCCUGUUCGUCCUGGGGAUAUGUAUGGUCAUUGACAUGGUGUCAUGCCGUCUUGGUAAGUAUUUGUUUUUCCCUAUAUUUAAAGCUGGAAUCCGUAGCUGUGACAAUCUCUUCCGUUAGUGAUGUUACAAUAGACGCCACUUCAAACAAACACUUUUUUUCAUAGACAUCAUUGUACCAAUGAUAGAACAGCAGAACAAAACAAUUACAAAUACGCCUGGUUAUGACCAGUGAGCCUAAUUCACCGUAUGCGGAUCUCGUCUUUAAUGCAUUUAACACAACAUAACCUUGAUGUUCAUGGUGAGUGUUUUGCCAUUUGAAAUGCCUAGUUUACUUUGUAUUGUUCUAAUCAAACUCUACAUGAGUGCUCCAUAUUUUAAACCUUCUAUGCCAUACUGAGGCCUAUCCCGACAGACUCCUCACCGUGGGACCUAGUCAUUGAGUGCUCCGUAUUUUAAACCUUUCUAUGCCAUACUGAGGCCUAUCCCGACAGACUCCUCACCGUGGGACCUAGUCAUUGGAAAUGCCUCACAGAACAAGUCUACCCAUUGGCCACGAGAUGGCUCUCAACCCCAGAUGCCAUUUCGGAACGUCAUGGCAAACUUGGCAAACUUGCCCUCACCACAGGCUGUUCUGUUCAUAACACAGUGUGAGAGUGACUCUGCAUCUGGUAUCGUUAGGCUCCUGGCUGGUCUGUGCCUGGAGCCCUGGUAUUUGUGCUGAUACAAACCCACUCUCUCUACGAGCACACUCUGUGGGCUGGCUGGCAUCCAUGGAAUGCGAGGCCUCUGGUGGUGCAGUGUCAGAAUUCCCCAGCAUGCACCAGGCCUGAGCGGCAUGCCAUGGGCUGCCACAGGGCAAGAACAUCUUAGCACUGCGACCAGGCCCAAUUACAAA